rnacentral:sRNA from 1 species
GUGGGGGUGGGGGCUCCGGUCCCUGGGGUGGCGGGGGAACCUGGAUGGGCACAGUGAAGCCAGGCCUUGGAGGGCGGGAGAAGAUGGGAGAGGAAAUGGGGAACCCCAUUGGUGCUGGAACAGAGACACAACUUGGCAGAAACUGGUAGGACUGCGGAAUCGUGGGAUCAGGAAGCGCGUAGGCACUCCCGGGGCGUGCAGGGCAGGUGCUGCUGGAGAGAGAGCUGGCCAAGCUGAGCGCCGAGCUGGACAAGGACCUGCGGGCAAUUGAGACCCGACUGCCGUCCCCCAAGAGCUCGCCGGCGCCCCGACGGGCCCCGGAGCAGCGGCCCCCGGCCGGCCCGGCCUCAGCCUGGAGCUCCAGCUACCCACAUGCACCUUACCUGGGUUCCGCCCGGUCCCUGAGCCCCCACAAAAUGGCUGAUGGAGGAAGCCCCUUCCUAGGUCGGAGGGACUUUGUCUACCCUUCCUCAACCCGAGACCCUAGUGCCUCUAACGGAGGGGGCAGCCCAGCCAGGAGGGAAGAGAAGAAGAGGAAGGCCGCCAGGCUCAAGUUUGACUUCCAGGCGCAGUCCCCCAAGGAGCUGACUCUGCAGAAGGGUGACAUUGUCUACAUCCACAAGGAGGUGGACAAGAACUGGCUGGAGGGAGAGCACCACGGCCGCCUGGGCAUCUUCCCUGCUAAUUAUGUGGAGGUGCUGCCCGCAGAUGAGAUCCCUAAGCCCAUCAAACCCCCGACCUACCAGGUGCUGGAGUAUGGAGAGGCUGUGGCCCAGUACACCUUCAAGGGGGACCUGGAGGUGGAGCUGUCCUUCCGCAAGGGAGAGCACAUCUGCCUGAUCCGCAAGGUGAACGAGAACUGGUACGAGGGACGCAUCACGGGCACGGGGCGCCAAGGCAUAUUCCCUGCCAGCUACGUGCAGGUGUCUCGUGAACCCCGGCUCCGGCUCUGUGACGACGGCCCCCAGCUCCCCACGUCUCCC